rnacentral:rRNA from 1 species
GACGUAGGGGGCGAGCGUUGUCCGGAUUUAUUGGGCGUAAAGCGUGCGUAGGCGGCUGCGCAAGUCGGUUGUGAAACCCCGGGGCUCAACCCCGGAACUGCAUCCGAUACUGCGUGGCUAGAGGUAGGUAGGGGAGAUCGGAAUUCCCGGUGUAGCGGUGAAAUGCGCAGAUAUCGGGAGGAACACCGGUGGCGAAGGCGGAUCUCUGGGCCUGUCCUGACGCUCAGGCGCGAAAGCUAGGGGAGCGAACAGG